rnacentral:rRNA from 1 species
UGCAGUCGUACGAGAGUUUUUAACUCAAGUGGCGGACGGGUGAGUAACACGUAAGAAUUUGCCUUUAGGAGGGGGAUAACAACUGGAAAUGGUUGCUAAUACCCCAUAUGCUUUCGAGUGAAAUGGUUUUUCCGCCUAAAGAGAAGCUUGCGGCUGAUUAGCUUGUUGGGGAGGUAAUGGCUCACCAAGGCGACGAUCAGUAUCUGGUUUGAGAGGACGAUCAGACACACUGGAACUGAGACACGGUCCAGACUCCUACGGGAGGCAGCAGUGGGGAAUUUUCCGCAAUGGGCGAAAGCCUGACGGAGCAAUACCGCGUGAGGGAUGACGGCCUAUGGGUUGUAAACCUCUUUUUUCAGGGAGGAAUAAAUGACGUGUACCUGAGGAAUAAGCAUCGGCUAACUCCGUGCCAGCAGCCGCGGUAAUACG